rnacentral:hammerhead_ribozyme from 1 species
AUCCAACUGACGAGUCUUAAAUAGAACGAAGUGACGUAUGUCAAACUGGAU